GCUGAGUGGGGUAGCGCCUGCUUGUAGCCCGAGUGGGGGCAUAAAAGUGAUGGGACUCUGGGUCAACUAACUGAGUCGGGUCCAUUGAGGCUUCUCUCUGGCUCGCCCGUUCCAAGCAAGGAGCUGAGACACGGGUCUUGUACGAAGGUUCGAGUUUUGUGUCUCCUAUAGUGGAAGGCAACGCGUGAGGCUGGUUUCACAGAGCAGCGAUAACUUCCCUCUCUCUGCAGUGGAAGGAUGACGGGCCGGUGCCACUUGAAUCCACAAUGGCUCUGUGGGUUUUCCCUAAUCGGACCACCGCUUUU
rnacentral:SRP_RNA from 1 species